UUCUCUAGUCUUUUCUGGAUUGAUCUAAGUUAGAAUAAUACGAGGUGUUACACACAUUAAUUGAAAUCAUCACUCACUUUCCUGGACAAAUGACUCUAGAGGAGUUACACACCAAGCUUUUGGUUGAUGAACAAUGGUUGUAAUGCUUUAAGGAGCUUGAUUCACCUCAAACAUUUGCUACUCAGAUUGUUUCACAUUUUACUGUCUGAUUCACAAUUUGUUUCUUAAGGUGAUCAUGAUUGAGGAUGAUUUUCCUCAUCCUAAGGUCGAGAAAGAGGCGAAAAAGGAUAUGGUUCUUAUGAUUGGGGUAUUCACAUGCAUCAAUUGCCUUUGAACAACUAUUUAAUGCAUACUAUCAAUGGACAGUCUCUAUCAGGAUAAAACCUCAGGCCAAACUCUCCCUCAAGCUUCCAGUAAGGGCAAUAUCUGUCCUUUUUCUCCUCGGUAUUUGCAGGGAACUUUCACCUCUGGUAUUCCUCAUCUACUUCUAUGAUGGUUUCUUAUUCUGAUGCUGAUUGAGCUGGGUGUCCUGAUAGUCAAUGCUCUAAUACUGGAUCUGUUGAGUUUCUGGGUUCAAAUUUUAUGUCUUGACGCUCAAAGAAGCAGUCGACAAUUUCUAAAUCCUCUAUAGAGGUUGAGUAUAAGGCCAUUGCAUACAUUGUUGCUGAGAUGUCUUGGAUUCGUCAUAUUCUCUGAGAACUUGGUGUUUUUCUCUGUGAUCCAGUUAGUGUAUUGUGUGACUGUUAGUGCUACUUACAUGAAUCGUAAUCUUGUUUUCCAUGACCGCUCCAAAAAUAUUGAUGUACUUUGUUCAUGACAAAAUAGCUUAGGGAAUAUCUUGUGGUUCAAUAUGUACCCAUUCGUUUGUAGCUUGUUAAUAUCUUUACAACGGGGCUA